rnacentral:lncRNA from 1 species
GGAAUGAAUGAUGGCGACCGGAGAAAAAGUGUGAUUGCAUGAUUUUUUGAGUAAUAUAUUAUUAUUAUUAUUGAUUCCGCACCCAUCCAUAGCUAGUUGGUAUCUGUAUUGCCUCCUUAGAAAUAGAUGGUAGUAGCUGCGUGCACCGGAAAUCACAAAAAUAAUCGAACUUACCGGUGGAGGGAUCUCCAGGUGUGGCGGU